rnacentral:RNase_P_RNA from 1 species
CUGUGUGGCAGCGUGGAGCGAUCCAUGAGGAAAGUCCGGGCAUCAUAGGGCAGGGUAGCUGUUAACGGCAGCCGAGGGCGACCUUAGAGCAAGUGCAACAGAGAUAUACCGCUUUCAUAUGGAAGUAAGGGUGGAAAGGUGCGGUAAGAGCGCACCAGAGUGCAGGAGACUGUACUGCUAUGUAAACCUUACCUGAUGCAACGUCUAUUGGUACGUAUAGUCAUAACAUUUGCCCGAUGGAUUAUGCGUAAUGGCGGCUAAAGCCUUGCGGCGACGUAAGACGUAGAUAAAUUGUCACACACGACAGAACCCGGCUUAUAGGUCUGGUCA